GACGAACGCUGGCGGCGUGCUUAACACAUGCAAGUCGAACGGAAAGGCCCUGCUUUUGUGGGGUGCUCGAGUGGCGAACGGGUGAGUAACACGUGAGUAACCUGCCCUUGACUUUGGGAUAACUUCAGGAAACUGGGGCUAAUACCGGAUAGGAGCUCCUGCUGCAUGGUGGGGGUUGGAAAGUUUCGGCGGUUGGGGAUGGACUCGCGGCUUAUCAGCUUGUUGGUGGGGUAGUGGCUUACCAAGGCUUUGACGGGUAGCCGGCCUGAGAGGGUGACCGGCCACAUUGGGACUGAGAUACGGCCCAGACGCCUACGGGAGGCAGCAGGGGGGAAUAUUGCACAAUGGGCGGAAGCCUGAUGCAGCAACGCCGCGUGCGGGAGGACGGCCUUCGGGUUGUAAACCGCUUUCGCCUGUGACGAAGCGUGAGGGACGGUAAUGGGUAAAGAAGCACCGGCUAACUACGU
rnacentral:rRNA from 1 species